rnacentral:rRNA from 1 species
GACCUCGGAUCAGGUGAGGAUACCCGCUGAACUUAA